GACGAACGCUGGCGGCGCGCCUAACACAUGCAAGUCGAACGGAAAGGCCUGCUUUCCCCUGCGCUUUCCGGGUACUCGAGUGGCGAACGGAUGAGUAACACGUCAGUCAUCUACCCCCAAAUUGGGUAUAAGCACGGGAAACUGGGUCUAAUUCUCGAUUGGACCGCAGGGUGGUGCAUGGGGUGGAAAAUGUUUUUCUAGUGGUUGGGGAUGAGCUCGCGGCGUAUCAGCUUGUUGGUGGGGUAAUGUCCUACCAAGGCGGGGACGGGUAGCCGGACUGGGAGCGUCGACGGCGGCACUGAGACUGAGUCACGACCCAGACGGGUAGGGGAGGCAGCGGUUGUGAAGAAAGGGCAAUAGGCGGAAGCCUGAUGCAGCGACGCAGUGAGGGGGAUGACGGCCUUGGGGUAGUCAGCUACUUGCGAAGGCGAGGAAGCCACCUGGUUGGGAGGGUGGUGACGGUAGUGGUAGAAGAAGCACCGGCUAACUACGUG
rnacentral:rRNA from 1 species